rnacentral:rRNA from 1 species
UGGGGGAUAUUGCACAAUGGGCGAAAGCCUGAUGCAGCGACGCCGCGUGGGGGAUGAAGGCCUUCGGGUUGUAAACUUCUUUUGCUCUGAACAAGGCAUGCCUUUGGGGUGUGUUGAGUGUAGGGGUUGAUUAGCGCCGGCUAACUACGUGCCAGCAGCCGCGGUAAUACGUAGGGCGCGAGCGUUGUCCGGAAUUAUUGGGCGUAAAGGGCUUGUAGGUGGCUGGUUGCGUCUGUCGUGAAAGCUCAUGGCUUAACUGUGGGUUUGCGGUGGGUACGGGCUGGCUUGAGUGCAGUAGGGGAGGCUGGAAUUCCUGGUGUAGCGGUGGAAUGCGCAGAUAUCAGGGGAAAUACCGGUGGCGAAGGCGGGUCUCUGGGCUGUUACUGACGCUGAGGGGCGAAAGCGUGGGGAGCGAACAGG